rnacentral:rRNA from 1 species
CGAGUGAAGCGGCAAGAGCUCAAAUUUGAAAUCUGGUGUCUUCGACGCCCGAGUUGUAAUUUGAAGAGGAUGCCUCGGUUGCGGUCCCGGCCUAAGUUCCUUGGAACAGGACGUCAUGGAGGGUGAGAAUCCCGUACAUGGCUGCAGGCUUGCUUCUAUGUGAAACUCCUUCGAAGAGUCGAGUUGUUUGGGAAUGCAGCUCAAAAUGGGUGGUAAAUUUCAUCUAAAGCUAAAUAUUGGCGGGAGACCGAUAGCGCACAAGUAGAGUGAUCGAAAGAUGAAAAGCACUUUGAAAAGAGAGUUAAACAGUACGUGAAAUUGUUGAAAGGGAAGCGCUUGCAAUCAGACUCGCCUUCAGUUGAUCAGCCUUCCUUCUGGUUGGUGCACUCUGCUGUUGGCGGGCCAGCAUCAGUUGGGGCGGCGGGACAAAGGCGGCAGGAAUGUGGCUCGUUCGCGAGUGUUAUAGCCUGCUGUGUCAUGCCGCCAGCCCCGACUGAGGUCCGCGGUUCGCCUAGGAUGCUGGCUUAAUGGUUGU